UGCAUUUUGCAAACAUUAGCAGCUCAGCUCAAUUUUUUCUCUCUGCAGAGUUUGUGCUAUGAAGUCCCACGCACCGAGGCUGGAUGACACCCCGAGCCCGGGGCUGUGUGUGCCGCAGGAGUAGGCCCUGGCUGUGUCCAAGGACCAGUGUGGCACGGUACCCUGGCGGGAGGGGCCUCCCUGACGGAUGCCUGUGCCCAGCCUCUUGCUCAGGACGUCAGCCCUGGGGGACCAAGGACGCCGCCCCCCAAGGUGCUGAGAAGCACUGGGCUCAUGUGAGCGAGAAGGGGACUCCACAGAGCUUCCCAAGGUGA
rnacentral:lncRNA from 1 species